UGUGUUGUAGCUCAGUGGCAGAGCGCUCGCCUGGCAUGUGUGAGGCACUGGGUUCAAUCCUCAGCACCACAU
rnacentral:tRNA from 1 species